UACCUGGAUGAGAACAUCAUGGAAGUGCAACUUGGAUUGACACAAAAAAGGAACGAAUUGAAACUUGACGCCGUUCCGACAGUGUUCCACGAACAAAGCGAGCCAGCAACUUCGACACUGCAGGCAGUUCGACAGGGUCAAGCGCAAGUGAAGGACCAGGUGCUGCUGAUCAAGUCCCAUCCAUCCAUGAAACGGCAUCAAACAAUGUACGUGUGUGCACGGCAAUUUUGCUGAGAGACCUGGUUUUUACACUAAUGCCUUUACGACGCCUCUGACAAAUUAGGAUCUUCCAGAACAGUGCUUUCUUCAUCCAAGUUCAAGAAGUAAAGAGAAUGACUUCAUGGCUUCUACUGACAUCUCACAGCUACAUGCCAAGACAAAAUAACUUGACAGCCAGAAAUGAAAAGAAAAAAAAAGCUCCGUUUCAGGUCCACCCAAAUCUUUGUGCAGAGGCUGACAACAACAACGCUAUUGUGAGAUGAUGAAUGAUGCUGAUGCAGCGUUGAGAUUAAGCCCUUGUUUCCUUUUUUGCAAUGCUAUACAUUACUGCUGGUUAAAUGUAAAAUGAUGCACCUACCUCCAGACAUUAAAGGGGCUACCAGAGAUGUAGUGUCAAUUCAACAGAAAACCUGCAUGUUCUACGAGGCACUGUC